UGCACUGGGUGGAUGAGUGGCGAACGGGUGAGUAAUACGUGAGUAACCUGCCCUUGACUCUGGGAUAAGCCUGGGAAACUGGGUCUAAUACUGGAUACGACAUGUCACCGCAUGGUGGUGUGUGGAAAGGGUUUUACUGGUUUUGGAUGGGCUCACGGCCUAUCAACUUGUUGGUGGGGUAAUGGCUCACCAAGGCGACGACGGGUAGNCANCCUGAGANNGUGACCGGCCACACUGGGACUGAGACACGGCCCAGACUCCUACGGGAGGCAGCAGUGGGGAAUAUUGCACAAUGGGCNNNAGCCUGAUGCAGCGACGCCGCGUGAGGGAUGACGGCCUUCGGGUUGUAAACCUCUUUCAGCACGGAAGAAGCGAAAGUGACGGUACGUGCAGAAGAAGCGCCGGCUAACUACGUGCCA
rnacentral:rRNA from 1 species